GCGCCUGGCGACGACAACAACAACAGGUAUCCUCCCGGCUCGUUUGCAGACGAUUCGUCACCCGAAGCAGCCCUGGACUGUAUUUAACCUGCACCCUUUACAGUCCGCGCAGACUUCGAGACGUUUGGUGGCACCCCCUGCUUCGGACGUCUCUUCCUUCUGCCUUCCAUCCAACCUUCGGCCUUAAGUUAUUGGAGGCAGUCACACAGUGGAAAGAACGGAGAACACAGGCAGAGAGGAAGAAGGUAAAAAGUUGGAUCCUUUUGUGUCUAGUAGGCCCAGCAAGCUGAUGAACAGAGACAUCUGCAUCCACACAUGGCCAUGUUCUUAUUAUUUGGAACCUGAAAAACGAUGGAUUCCUGGCAAGCUUUCAUUGACUUCUGUUUUGCUAAAAUUUUUGGCUGAUAAGAAUGGAGAACUACUGGUCAGCUUCCCCCUUUCAAGCAUCAGUGAGAUUAAAAAAGAAUCCUCUCACUUCAUCUUCAGCUCUAUCACUAUUCUAGAGAAGGACCACAUUAAGCACUGGUUCAGUUCCUUCCAGCCCAGCCGAAAUGUGGUCUUCAACAUCAUUGAGCAUUUCUGGAGGGAGUUGCUGUUGUCUCACCCAGGAGCCCAGGCAUCUUCUCCCCAGAUGACCAAGGGUAAAGAACUGACAGGCUUAAUGGCCUGUUCCCAGAAACGGUUAGAAGAUACGGCAAAAGUCCUUCACCAUCAGGGUGAGCAAUUUGAUAACAUCAUGAAAGGACUGGACAAGAUUGAAUCAGAUAUGGAUGUAGCUGACAGGUUGCUCACAGAACUUGAAUCUCCUUCUUGGUGGCCCUUUAGUACUAAACUCUGGAAAAGCCCAUCUGAAACAAAACCCAAGGAAAGUACCUCAGUAUCCAGUUCUGAGGCAUUUGGAAAAUCAGGGGUGAUAAUAAAAAUUCCAGCAAUUAUUUCACAAAGCACCGAGUUGCACGCUAAACCGGGAAGAUUUACUGUCUUGGUUUCUGGGUUGGAAAUCAGUGACUCUAAUUCUCAACUUUUGCAUAGAUUUGAAAGGGAAGAUGUAGAUGACAUUAAAGUUCAUACCCCUUACGAAAUCAGUAUACGCCAGAGAUUUAUCGGUAAGCCAGACACGGCCUAUCGACUAUUGUCGGCAAAGAUGCCGGAGGUUAUCCAAAUUUUGGAAGUGCAAUUCAGCAAGAAAAUCGAGUUUUUAGAAGAUGCGAUGGUGUUCCAAAGCACACGAGACUCGCCACCAGCAGAGAAGGGCAGUGCCAUCUGGCGGGCAGCAUCUGGGCUAAUAGAAAGUGUGGUGCACCCUGGACCUUCCCUCAGAAGUGGAGAAAGCAGUCAGAUCCAGUUACAAGUGAAUGAGCAGGUUUCUGAGGAAGAAGCUCAAGAACUAAGACAGAUCUUGAAGAAACUGAAGAGCAUUGCUCUAGAAACUGAGACAGAACUCGAGAGGCAAGAUGAAGUUCUUGAUGGCCUGACCUCCUCCGUGGAGCGCACGACCCUGACUAUCGAUAAGCAGAAUCGUAGGAUGAAGAAGCUGCUCUAGAACUUCAGGCGGAGAACCGGUGGUUUGGUGGUAACAUGAAACUCUCAGGAGACACAAGUGACUCUAUUUUUUAGAAUAAGUGAUUAUCUUAAUGUGUUGUUCUCUCAUUGUUUCUGUAGUCUUCAUUUAUAGAGAAGACACCGUGGAAUAAUUUCCAGGAUUGGAUGCAUGUUUGGAAGCCUUCUCCCAGGAGCAGAAGAAGCAGAAACUUUAAUCAUGGUGUAGUGGUUGAAGUCAGCUAUCUGUCGCUAAGACUCUUUACAGACAGUGUGGUUCAGGGGUCUUGAGGACUUUCACUAAAGAGAUUCCCAUGCACUGAAGGAGAAGUUGUAGAUUUUUUUUCUUUUUGGAGGGGGAACUUUAGUUAAAAAAAAAAAAGAAAGAAAGAACAACUUCUUUUUUCUGUGUGAAAGCCUCAGUGCUUUAGGCUCUUUCAGUGUGUGAGCUUGUGUGGUGCAUUUGUUUGUUUGUUUUCCUGGAAUGGAAAUUGGAUCCCUGGUUUUGAUGCUAACUAGGUAAGUGACUAUGGGCAAGUCACAUAGUCCCCUUAGGCCUUAGUUUACUCAAUUAUGAGAAAAACUACCAGUAAGAAAAUUGGACUAACUUAUCCUUAAGAUCCCUUCCAGUCUACCAUUCUAUUACAUCUGUGAGAGAAAAAAAAUACUUCUACCUGUUUAGUGAAAUAGAGAUGGAGUACAGAAGCAUUCUUGCUUCUGGAUACUGUAUUAAAACUCUGGGGAAGCCAUAGGUGUGAUGUUUAACACAAAGUGCCAAAUGCAGAAAUUCCAUUUUAAAUAAUUUUGUGUAGUUUCUAAGUAAUUCACAUAUCAGCUUCUUGGGGUUUCCCUCUUUUAGAUGUUAGUGCAACAAACAAAAUUGACAGUUGCUGUAUUUGAAUUAUUGCAGCCUCUUCUACUAAACUUCAAAGAUGAGGUAGGUUUUUGAAAGUUGAUUGUGUUUUAAUCAGAAGAGGAAAAUUAAAGCUCUCCAGAAAGAAGUCAUUCUGCCUUUUUGAGUACAGGUAUACCCUGUUUAAAUACAACCUAUUGCUUGGUUGCAUAUUAAGCUCUGAAUAUUUUUCUUAAAAGCUUUCAAAUGAAUUCCCUUCCAACCCUUGAAAACCUAGUGCUCCUUACAGUGCCUGUACCUGAGGGAGAUCAUUCCCUUUGGGACUUUAAAACACUGCAGAGGCUGCUUGGGCAUUAAUCACAUAUAUUCCCUGUUAGAUGUGGAAAUUAAUUGACUCCAUUUCUUUCUUGAUGGUUUUCUUUGAUAGAGUAGGUUUAUGAAAUUGUGCCAACGGACUGUUCUAUUUUUCUUUUUAAUUUUACUGCAGUUUUCUAGCUGAGAACACCUCCAGGAUAUCUUAUAAACACCUUAAAUUUUCAUUUACUGCCCAGUUCUUUAGCCAAAAAUAAAAAAGAGGCAGCUAGUUAUGUAGUGUAUUUUAAAAACUCAUGUUGGUCUUUGUUUUUACUGCCUCAUUUCUAGCCAGAAUUGAAAGAAAACUUCUAUAUGUAGUGUACUUUUCAAAACCUGUAUUGAUUUUGGGGGGUUUGAUUUGUGUGUUUCAGUUAGCAGACCAGAAGUUAACACUUUCUCUUCCUGGUAAGAAUUACUCUUGAAACAAAGCUCUUUGUGGUCUACAAACUCCAUUCUGGAGGUGGGGGUUAGGAUGGGGUUGCGAAGUGUAAUGAAAAGUAGAUUUGUUUCUGGAUAUCAUUCCUUCAUAAUCACUGUUUUUAUCUUCUCAUCACGUAUACCACUAAUGAUUUAUUACCAUUUUAAAAAUAUUUUACUUUCAGACUCUUGAAAUAAUAUAAUGAAGAAAUAUCUUUAGGCAUAUUAUCAAGACAACUUUUUUUGGAAAUGCUGGUGUUUGGGGAUUAAUUUUUAUUCCAUUAACAAGUGUAAAAGGGUUGUUACAACUUGUUAUGAAAAAAUUGGAGGUGUGUUGAAGUCAUCAUUUAGACAACUGUUGAUAUUGGCAACAACCCAACACGCCAUAUCAGUUUAGGUUGUGGCACUUUAUGUUUGCAUACUUGGUACCUUGAUGAUUUUCCUAAAGACUACUGAAAAAUUGUGGAUAGAAGAAUGAUGCUACCAUGUUGAUCACCUUGGUGGAAGGCUGACAUUCUACCUCCAGAAAGCAUAGAAGGUAAUCAUCUCAGAAGCGAGGCUUCACAAUUCCAGAAGUUGUUCUUUAAGUCCUUUAUGUUUCAUUCAGGCCAUACCUAGCUUUCCCUCCCAAAGUUAGAAUUGGGCCUCCUGGAAUAAAGCCCAACUUAUUUCAAAGGCUCUUUUUUUCCAGGAUGGUCUUAUGAAUAAUAAUGUCUUUUUGGAGCAUUUUCCUUGGACAAUUAUAGAAUUUGGUGAGCUUUGUGGAGCUUAGGACUACUCAUUUUAGAGGUUCAUAACAUUUUAGCUUAGUUCUAUGUAAAUAUUUGAAUCUCUUCAUACCAUUAAGCACUGUAGCUUCCAUCCAUAUCCCUUUGGAGAAGAUAUGAUAAGUCAGACCUACCCUCAAACCAAGGUAUUUUUCUUACCACAUAUUAGAGUAUGUAGUUUUCUUUAGUGUGCUAAAAAGAUAGGCAACAUACCAUGUACAUAAAUUAUUGUGCUAGAUUUGGAGGAGGUCACAAAAAAAAGGAAUAGAGGCCCUGCCCUCACGGAGCUUGCACCUAAGAGGUGAGACAUCACAAGAUGUUGACAAUACAAAAUAGCAUAGAAGUACCCACAGAGUUGAAUCAACAAUUAGUCCCACAUGCCUUCGGAGAAGGUGAGACACUUCUGUUAAUCAACAAUGGAUGUCAAGAGAACAAUCAUAAAAUUAAUACCAAAAUUUACAGACCACCUUAGCUUUCUGCCCCUCUUCUCAGCUGGAGCUUGCCCGGAAGAAUCAUUAUCUCCGUGAGCUAUGGCCACUCCCCAGCUGGGACUGCUACCAUGACAAGCCUGUAUGCAGGCUCUGUUAGCAGUUCCUGCUUCGGGCAUUUAUAGCAUGAGUCAGCAGGGCAUAGUGGACAGGAGACUAGACUUUAGGUUCACAAGAUCUGGGUUUGAAUCUCACUCAGCCUAGGCACGUCAUUUCCCUUCUCUCAGCCUCAGUUUUGUCAUCUGUAAAAUGGGGGUAGUAAUACCUGUAACAUAACCCAUGUCUGUUAUGAGGAUCAAAUAAGAAAGGAUGUUUAUAAAGUACUUUGCAAAUCCUAAAAUUUUUUAUAAAUGUUAGCUAUAACAUGCACACAAGUACAUACACAUACACAGUAUGUACUAUGUAUUUAUGUUUGCAUACAUUUGUAAAAAAUCAGGAUAACCAUUCUAACAUGAGACUACAAAGGCAGGACCCCCGAAAGAAACUAGGAAAAAAAUACUUUAAUGUUCUUCCAGCAGGCUAUGAUUCUAUUUUGUAUUGAAACAGUCAGUUUACAUGAUAGAUGUGGAAUGAUAUCAUAGAAAUGUUGUAAAUAAUCGAUGUUGAUAUAAUCCCUAUCUAUCAGAUUAGUAGAGGAAGGAAUCAUAAUGCCUCCUUACUUUUAUAUGGAGCUUUCCAAUUUUGAGAACUUUUUCAUAUGUUAACUCAUGAUUUUCACAUCAGUGCUAUGAGGCAGGGAAGGUAGUAUUGUCUCAGUUUUACAGAUGUGUUUCCUUUCAUUUAGAAAAAUUCUGGCAUACCCAAGGCAGCAUCUCUAGGGAUAUAAUUGUGACGAGGACUAAAUUUUCUGACUCUAAGGCAGCGAGUAUUGGAGACAGUUAGAAGAACAUAUGUAACUCCUGCAAACCCUUUGUCAGGCUAAAUGCUGACAAGGAUUGACAAAUGCCAAAAUCUAGUGUCUUACACAGACCUCUUAGCCAGUAUUCCUGUAUUGCACCCGUUUGUUUUCUCUUGAUCCCCCUUGAUGAGGAUCAGAAAAACCUUUAUUUCUAAAAAAGGUCAUGUUAUUAGGCAGAUGCUGUUCAAAUUUACUACUGCUGCACAUCCUGUGGUCAUUUGUUUACUCUUAGAUGUCCUGAUUUCAAGAAGACAAAUUUAGAUAUGUGUGCAAUGAUUCCCUGGCAUGUUUCAGUUCUUUAUGUGUAGCUACUACUCAGGGGAAAGCUUUCAAAAGUUGUACCCCAAGUUAUUGCUCUGCUUUCUUCUCACUCGUAACCCUUCCAUGUAACUUCUUCACUACAAUUACUUAGAUUGCUGUAGACUGCAAGCAGAUAAAUGCUAGACUUAACUUCCAUACAAAAAGAAAGAGAAUUCCAGGGUAAGAACUGUUUACAAUGAAAAAUAGCAUCAGUCAAACUCAGAGACUGAACAUACUUUUAAGUUUAAAGUGCUAACUAGGCCCAGUCAUAGUAUUAUGGAAUCAGCUGCUGCUCUUGGCAUUGCUACCUCAGAUUUAAAAGUAGCCAUUGUAUAUUAGCUUAGCUUACCCUGGUAUUGCCUGAACUGACUUCUUGUAGUUUAACCUCUUAACUUUAACCCAAAUCUUUGUCUGUGAAGGAAGAAGAUUCAUUACUAGUUCUGUCCCAAAAUUAGUAUGCUUCUGGUCAAAAUCUAUUGAUAUUGCAAUGUAAACUUAUCAGUCCCGAAGUUGCCCUCUUAGUAAAAGUCUCAGCUAAUAAAUUAGAAUGUAUAAAUAACUUGUCCCAGAAACCUUGAUUGCUUCUCAGCUUCCUUGUUUAUAGCUUGUUUUCUGGAUGCUUCAUUGAGUUUUCCUCGAGAAUCUUAGAAUCUCAUAUUGGGAAGGAAUAUCAGAAGUCAUCUAGUACAACUUGAACAAGAGACUCCUAUAACAUCCCUGAAAAGUAGUCAUCCAGCCUUUGCAUGAAGACCUCUAGUGACAAGGGAACUUGCUGUGUUCUGAAGUAUCCCACCUCACUUUUGGGUGGCUCCAAUUGCUGAGCCAUUUUUCAUGACAUCAGAUUUAAAUUUGUGUCUUUGCAGCUUCCAUCCAUUGUUCCUGGUUCUGCUUCCUGGGCCCAAUUAGAAGAGGGCUGAUCCUUUUUUUACAUGACGGCUCUUCAGAUUCUUGAAGGCAGAGAUCUUCCCUCCCCCUGAGCCUUCUCUUUUUAUUUAAGCUCAAUAACCCCAAUUGCUUCAACCAGUUCUCAUAUAUGUAGUGUGAUCUUGAGGCCUUUCACCAUCCUAGACUUCUUGGUCUGUGUGCAUCAGCCAGGAGGAAGUGUCCAGAGAAUACAGAGUGGAGUGAGGGGUGGUGACUGAGGCUUUUCUGAAAUUGUGGUCCAGAAGAGGCAGUCAUUGUUCAGGACAUUGGGGCUUUGGGGUGGACUUUUUCUCUGGAGUAGCAAGGCAGUUAGGGAGGCUAUGGAUGAGCUGCCUGAGGAAUAGGGAGUAAAGAUGGUUUCCAGGCUCCUCUUCCUGAGUUCUGCUGCAUUCCUUCCAUUCUUCACUGGCUUUCAGAGGCAGUCAUGCCUGUCAUUUCUCCCACUGCCCUGGGAUAAAGUUUGUCUGGGUCUAGUAUCUUGAGCUUAUUCAGGCAUCUAAAUACUUCUUUCUAUCUCCCUACUUAUCUUUGGUGUCAGCUCCCUAUUAUCCCUUUUGUGCCAUCCAUGGCAGAAAAUAGAACAGAACAGGAACAAAAGAGUUGAAAUAAUUUUGACUUUUCCCAUAGCUCUGCACGCCCUGGAUCACAUGUCCAUUCUGCCCUUCCACUGCCCUGCUACCGCUACCACCCUUUCUUAUCCAGACCACUAGAGACCAGGAACAGGAAGAGCAGAAACCACUCAGGAAGCCUCUGCAUCCUUUGUCACCAUAUCUUUAUCUUUAUCCUGGUUGUUUUCUGCCCUGCCACCAUGGGGGUACUUCUCUUCUCCCUUUCCAUCUUUUGCUCUGCACAUUGUAAUCAAACAAACAAUACCGUUGUCUUUGGAAAGAGAAUGUCAGUGGACUGCCUUCUCAUUCCACUUACCAUCUUCAUGACUUCCCACAUCAGAUCCCCCUCAGAAACUGCUCCCUGAAUGUGUUGUCUCCCUCUGUUAGAAUGUAAGGGUGAGUAAACAUGUCCUUGUAUCUCCAGUGCUUAGCACAGUGCUUCACACAUGGUGAGGGCUUAGUAGGGCUGAAUUUCUGUGUGGAGUUUUAGGUCAUUGAAUCCUACCUGUCCUUUCUCUGAAUCCUUUGAAAAUUAUCUCCUAAAAUCUAGAAUAAAUAGCAAACUGUGCCCAAGUUUCCUUUUGUAAACUAAUGAUGUGGAGUGACCACUUUUCACCAAGACUCCCAUUAUCUCUACUUCAGCAACGAGUUCCUCGUGGUUGGUGAGAAUCAGGUUCAGAAUGGCCUUUCCCUUCAUUGUGUCUUGUUCCUUUUAAAGGAUGAAAAUACUGUGAAAGGAAGCCAAGAAAUUAACUGCUCUGCUUUUGGCAGAGAGAAGGAGAGUUCUAUCACAUGUCCAGAUAAUUAAAGGCUCUCCUCACUACUAUGUUAUAUUACCAUACCAAGCUUGUGAUCUGUUUCCCAAAAUCCUCAUCUAUUUCCCUUUCUUGACUUAUUGGUCAGUAGUAUAUUCUGAUAACAAUAUCAGUUGUAUUUUUUUUAAUCAAUUGAUAAUUUACUCAAAUGUUUUCUACUCCUUAUUCCCAUUUUCUGGCUCUUAUAUCUCUUCACGUGUCUUUUUUAUGGUAUUUUACCAUCUCUGUUGAGUACUUUGUUCUUUUUAAAUGAAUUAUGUACUUCCAGAGCUGUAUGCUAGUCAUGGGCCCCAUCUUAGUGACCCGUGAAAUCAAUUCUGUCUUCUGUUAAGAUCCCUUGCUCACUUUAUUAUCUAUAUUUUAUGCAUUCAUAUAUUUUACUACUGAUUUAUUUCAUGGAUUUUGUCUCCUGUAAAUUCAUUGGGCAAUUGUUAUUUUUCUUUUUGUUGAUCACAGUUGUUCUUUAUGGUAUUUCUUGGUGAUCUCUCUGUCUCUCUCUCUCUCCCCCCCAUCUUCUUUUUUCUCACCCUCUCUUUCUCUUCCCUCGGUCCUCAGUUUCUUGCCUAAGACUUCAGAAUCCUUAGCAGUGCUUCUUAAAUUUCUUUCAACAGUAUCAUUAUCUUCCACAUGCAUCGCAAGUGGGUAGUGGUCAUUAGGUCUGAUAAGUCUUACAAGGGGGACAAGUUUCUGUAAUGCAAUAGACAUGUGCCACAAGAAGACCAUGGACCUGUCCUCUAAGAAACAAAGAUAGGCUGUAGCCUUCUUUGUUUAUAGAAAAAAAUUCUGGUGACCCACGACUUCAUCUUUGAAAAGGAGUUGUAUGUUGUUAAUAACAGGACUCUGUGUCCUUACUGAUAGAUGCUGAAUACCGUAGCUAAAGGAGAUCAGGUUAAUUACUUCUAAAAAAAAAUACCGUUCUUCCUUUCCUUUCAUCUUUACUUCUCUUCCCUGACUUCACAAAAAAGAAGCAGCAUUAAAUGACACCUUAAGUAUCUUACUACGAAUCUUUGUCCUAAGAGUCAUAAACACUAUAGGUUUCCUGCAGAGGUCAGGAAAGCACCCUGAAGUAGUGGUCGGUUUAAGGAUGCCUCUUCAGAGAAUGCCAUUGCAGAGUUGGGAUGAUAACACUUGAACUACUAUUCUGACUUCACAGAUUAUGAAAGAACUGCACGGCAAAUCUUAAAGUUCUAUGUAGAUGUGAAUUGCUAUUACCAUGCUAGAGGGUCCUAGAAUGGGAAGGCAUCUCAUGAGGUAAUAAGAGAUCGUUCAUUUUGGACCUGGAACAAAGAACUGGAAACAAAGGAGGUACUCAACAAUUUGGGAAUGGCUACACAAAUUUCGGUGCAGCAUAAAACAGUAAGCGCGAAGAAUUUGAAGAAGCAUGGGAAGGUGGUGCAAAUUGACUUAUAGGAACCAAUGGAAAAAUUAAAACAAGUGUAACAAUGUAAAUGA